GUGUAAGUGCGGUGACGCAUUUAGCCGACCAGUACUAAUAGACCGUGAGCCUUGACCUA
rnacentral:rRNA from 1 species